AGUGAACGCUGGCGGUAGGCCUAACACAUGCAAGUCGAACGGCAGCACAGUAAGAGCUUGCUCUUACGGGUGGCGAGUGGCGGACGGGUGAGGAAUACAUCGGAAUCUACUUUUUCGUGGGGGAUAACGUAGGGAAACUUACGCUAAUACCGCAUACGACCUACGGGUGAAAGCAGGGGAUCUUCGGACCUUGCGCGAUUGAAUGAGCCGAUGUCGGUUUAGCUAGUUGGCGGGGGAAAGGCCCACCAAGGCGACGAUCCGUAGCUGGUCUGAGAGGAUGAUCAGCCACACUGGAACUGAGACAGGGCCCAGACUCCUACGGGAGGCAGCAGUGGGGAAUAUUGGACAAGGGGCGCAAGCCUGAUCCAGCCAUACCGCGUGGGUGAAGAAGGCCUUCGGGUUGUAAAGCCCUUUUGUUGGGAAAGAAAAGCAGCAGGUUAAUACCCCGCUGUUCUGACGGUACCCAAAGAAUAAGCACCGGCUAACUUCGUG
rnacentral:rRNA from 1 species